rnacentral:rRNA from 1 species
UUGGAGGGCAAGUCUGGUGCCAGCAGCCGCGGUAAUUCCAGCUCCAAUAGCGUAUAUUAAAGUUGUCGCAGUUAAAAAGCUCGUAGUUGAAUUUCGGGGUUAGUAGGUUGGUCAUGCCACUGGUAUGUACUGGUCUCACUGAUUCCUCCUUCCUGAUGAGACGUAAUGCCAUUAAUUUGGUGUUGCGAGGAAUCUGGACUGUUACUUUGAAAAAAUUAGAGUGUUUAAAGCAAGCUAACGCUUGAAUACAUUAGCAUGGAAUAAUGAAAUAGGACGUUCGAUCCUAUUUUGUUGGUUUCUAGGAUUGACGUAAUGAUUAAUAGGGAUAGUUGGGGGCAUUAGUAUUCAAUUGUCAGAGGUGAAAUUCUUGGAUUUAUUGAAGACUAACUACUGCGAAAGCAUUUGCCAAGGAUGUUUUCAUUAAUCAAGAACGAAAGUUAGGGGAUCGAAGACGAUCAGAUACCGUCGUAGUCUUACCCAUAAACUAUGCCGACUAGGGAUCGGAUGAUGUUAUUUUUAAUGACUCAUUCGGCGCCUUACGGGAAACCAAAGUGUUUGGGUUC